CCGGGGACCGGCCUCCGCCGCGGGCUCUGCCCGCUCGCCUGCUCGCCUGGUGGGGGAGAGGGGAGCGGGGCCGACACAGGACUGCAGUUGACAGCAGAUAACUGAAAGCUCGGAAAGCGAAACCGUGGAUAAGCAGGGGAACUGUGGCAUCCCAUUUAAAAUUGCUUCUGAAGAGAAGCAUGAGGUUACAUCUGUAAUCUCCCUGCAGCAGAGUCAACUGCAUAAGAAACCAAAAGACACACCUGCUCCAUGCCAGCCUAAGCCACCACAUAAAAAGUCAGACCAUCUGCUGGAAGAACCACAUGGAGAGGCCCUGAGUCAACAUGGAGAGGAAGAAGGACUUGACUGAAUCCAGCCUUCCAGCUGUCCCUACCAAGGUGCCAGGCAUGAGAAUGAAGCUGUCUUGAACUCUGAAGACCAGCUUAGCCACCAGUUUCUGUGGGCCUCAAACAACACUUUCUGCAUUUUCCCCUCUCGCCCCCUACUCAUCACUCCCUGAAAGGGUCAUCAUGAAGAUAAAUGUACUACAUUUAUAAACAGUAAAGUACUACAAAGGACCAAGCAAAUACGAAUUAUUUUUUGCAGUGGAGAAACAAGCGCCCGGUGAGAAUAUAUGACCUAAGGUUCUGUAGUUUAUGACCUAACCAGGCCCAGAAUGAAGUUUUUCAUAUCCUAGUAGUGUGUUUUUUCUGUUUUGACAAAAAACAGCAUACCUCAGAGAAGGAAAAAAGUGUGAAUUGUGGGUAUAUUGGGGUUAUCAGUGUGCUUCUGAGGGAAGACAGGCAUCACUACUUCCCAGAGAUGCCCUGGAAAUGAUAUAGAAGAUGCUGAAGAAUUCAACGUGAUAACAGAAUGAGGCAUUUGUAGUAAUGCUGAGAACAGAAAAAUGGACUAAGUGGAAAAUUUGUUUGCAUGUCUUUGAAUGUAGAUUUGUUAUGUGAACAAACUACCUAGUUUAUUUUUAGUUCAAUACAAUAAUUGUUUUAAGAAAACAUGAAAUAACUACUCAAUAUAAAAUGCAUUUUAAAACUCCUAUUAAAAAAGAUCACAGGAAAAUUGCUUGAUUUCUCCAUCAGUUAAAUUUACCACCGUGCACACGUUAUGUGGUUAAAAAUCUGAUUGUUUUCCU
rnacentral:lncRNA from 1 species